GGGGGUGUAGCUCAGUGGUAGAGCGCGUGCUUAGCAUGCACGAGGUCCUGGGUUCAAUCCCCAGCACUUCCA
rnacentral:tRNA from 3 species